ACAGCCGCCCAGCGACCGGCAAAAACGCGCCAUUCCUGGGUCACAGUAGCGAA
rnacentral:sRNA from 1 species